UAGUUAUAAAUAAGACAUCAUCCUUUCCCUCACUAAGCUUUGAGUCUGCUGGGGACAAAUGCAAGUAGGGCAAUGACAGCAAGGAGUCACAGGAGUGAACUCUCGGUUUUCUGGGGAUGCACAGGACAGAUUCAUACCCUGGCAGGUAGGGAGUGCAGAAAGUUGGGUAUUGUGUUGCUCUCCUGGGGGGAAAUGACCUCUAAAUGGAUCCCUGAAGUGCUCUUAGAGCUCUAAGUGGAGCUCAAAGAGUAGCAGCAUGACAGGGGCAUCAAUAUAUGGGAAAGUGUCAUGUUUAGGAAGCUCCAAGGGGUUCAGGGUAGCCAGAGUAUAGGAUGCCUGGGAUGCAUUUAGGUUGGUAAGGAAGGAAUGGGGUAGGAUGUCGGGCAAGGGCUCACAUGGUGAAGGGUCUUGUAUGUGUCUGACUCUACCUCGUGGUAGUGGAGUGUCGGCAGAGUUGGAGCAGGGCAGAGCUAUAACGUGGAAAACGUGCUAGAGAAGCCAAGUCCACGUCCAUGGAGGCUGCCGCAGCGGUUUCAGCAGGAAUGGUGGUGGCCUGAGCUUAGCGCCUGCGGAAAGUAGCGCCGAAAGGGAAAACCGGCCUCAUUUAGUGUUGGGUGGUAGUCAAGGAGAAGGAGGAGUCAAGGAUGACUGUAGAGUUGUGCCCUGACCCGCAGUGAGGUUGGCGUCCUGGAGACACAGGUGAGAGGAGCAGGCUGGGGGUAAAGAAGAGAUGAGUAGCAGAUACUCUUCAUUUGAAUUCUGAGGGGGGGAAGUGAGUCGAUAAGUUGAUAAGUUAGAAACACUACAACCUCAGUGUCAGUGUCUCAAAAAAGUCAUCCAGGUAGUUUCAGGGUUAACAUGGAAAUACAGCGUGGGAACCAAAACAACAGGCUGAUGAGCUGUGGUUGUUUGGGGUCACGGUCGGUUUGGCAACUAUGACGGAUCUGAGACCAAAGUAGCAGUGGUUCCAAGAAGUGUAAGCUUACUGUGGGAGAGGGGAGAACCUUACUGACUGCAUUUCACAUUUUAGGUUCUGCUAAAUUCACAUUUGGCCAGGCUCAGGGCUCCAUUUUGGAUAUGGUGUGUGGCACCAAGGUUUUAUUAAAACAGGCCCGUUAAAGACAUUCCCUGAUGCUGAGCUCGGAGAAGAUGUCCAUCGUUUUGUGGAUGACAAAUAGCCACUUCUGAAAGCUUAAGUAGUGACGAAUAAUUACAAGUCAUUUUAAUUUUGCCAAGUUACCGGAAAUUGAAAAUGCAAUUAAUUCAUUAUCCCAGAUUCUUACAUUAGCUGAAUAAAGAACAGUUACCUUAAACCCAAACCCAGAAACCCAAAUUCAGAAGCAACGUUAACACACUGGCAUUUGUUAGCUUACAGCCUGCAUUUCAAAGCAAGAUCUUCUCUCUCUCUCUCAUUCCUUCCUUCUUGUGUGCUGAACUUGUGACCAUUUACUGAGUCAUUAUCUGAACCCCUGUCGUCAUCUCUUUCUCUCCUCGACAUCGCCUGAUCAUUGGAAGUUCUACUGCAAUAGAAAGUACAUGCCCUACACUUAUCUUGUUUGACCAGCUCUAAAUAAACUUCAAAAUACGAUGCCUUUCCCUUUGGAUCUUCCUGGAAAAAGAUGUCUGACUCAAUAUGCUGUCCUUGUAUUCAGAACUGAUGUAAAGAAAAUAUUUCACAUAUUUGUGUUCUGGAUUAGGGCUGAAAUAAGUAAUGUGAGAUUGCUUAUGUGUAUUUUGAUGAAGAGGCCUUUUUAAGGGUGAAAAAUAAGAGAUCCUACUAUUUCCUUUUUCUGUAUUUGUUCUUAAAAUUUUUGGUGUUGCUUUUAAGCCUUCCAUGAUUUUAAGAUUUACAGAAUGCCGUUCUUUAGGGGAAGAAUUUGAUUAUGAAGAAACUGUCAAGGCUUUUAGAGAAUUUCAUACAUCUUUUAGUAUAUGAAAUGUAAUCUGAAUUACUUUAUGUUUUGCCUUAAUAUCACUGAGACAGAAAGAAAAAUUUGAGGCCUGGAAUGUUUAGAAACCUGGUUUAUGUAUAGGCUGAUACUAUAUCUGCUUUGAAUAUGAAAGUACAUGGGCAGGUAAAAUAAUUAUUUUAAUUAAAAAAAUCAAAGAUACAGGAAAAACUCAAGAAAAAAAAACUGCAGAUAUUAUUUGUACCCAACCCCAAUAAUCAACAAAUGUUAAUAUUUUGUUACAGUUGCUUCAGAUAUUUUUGAGGAAAGAAUUUUUUAAGAACAGUCUGGUAAUCUGAUCUCAGGAUCUGAUGGCUUGCAAGAAAAAUUAGAAGUGUAUUUACUAUAUAGUUUUGAAGAAAUCAUUCAAAUUUUUCAUCAUCUUUGGUUUGUAAGAUGAAGAGUUUGAAGGGUUGAGAGCAUCCCUCAUACAUUGUAUUUACUACUUUGCAAAGUUCUUCUAAAUCACAAAAUAAAGCUUUUUGCUCUUAGCUUUAUAGCAUUGAGAUUACUGAAUGACCAGGAAUGACCAGAAUGUGAACAUUAUUUAAAUAUUGCAAUUAAUAGUGUCUGGAAUCUACCUUAAAGAGAUGUGCCAUGUCCUACAAGUAACUGAGUGCCAAGAGAGUACCAGAUAUAUAGCACUGUGCAGACAGAGCAAAACCUGAAACACUCACAUUCCCUAGCCAGAUGUUUUGAUAUUAGACUCCAGAUGCUGUCUCAAAAGUCUAUGGCAUUAAAGACCUGGUUAAGCCUG